rnacentral:rRNA from 1 species
UGCCUACGGGGGGCAGCAGUGAGGAAUAUUGGUCAAUGGUCGGGAGACUGAACCAGCCAAGCCGCGUGAGGGAUGAAGGUACAGAGUAUCGUAAACCGCUUUUGUCAGGGAACAAAGGCGGGGACGCGUCCCCGGAUGAGUGUACCUGAAGAAAAAGCAUCGGCUAACUCCGUGCCAGCAGCCGCGGUAAUACGGAGGAUGCGAGCGUUAUCCGGAUUUAUUGGGUUUAAAGGGGGGGCAGGCGGUCUGUUAAGUCAGCGGUCAAAGCCCGGGGCGCAACCCCGGCCCGC